rnacentral:rRNA from 1 species
UGCGUAGACGGUACAUUAAGUUUGUUGUUAAAGACUCUGGCCUAACCGGAGGGUUGCAAUGAAAACUGGUGAGCUAGAGGGUGAGAGAGAGAAGUGGAAUUCCCGGAGUAGCGGUAAAAUGCGUGGAUCUCGGGAGGAACACCAAUGGCGAAGGCAGCUUCUUGGCUCAUUCCUGACGUUGAGGCACGAAAGCGUGGGGAGCAAACA